AGCGCAGGCGGACCGGCAAGUUGGAAGUGAAAACUAUGGGCUCAACCCAUAAAUUGCUUUCAAAACUGCUGGCCUUGAGUAGUGCAGAGGUAGGUGGAAUUCCCGGUGUAGCGGUGGAAUGCGUAGAUAUCGGGAGGAACACCAGUGGCGAAGGCGACUUUCUGGACUGUAACUGACACUGAGGCUCGAAAGCCAGGUAGUGAACG
rnacentral:rRNA from 1 species